rnacentral:rRNA from 1 species
UAUGUGGUUUAAUUCGAUGCAACGCGAGAACCUUACCUGGUCUUGACAUCCCGGAGACCCUUAGGAAACUAGGGGUGCUUCCAUCUGGAAGAAUCUGGAGACAGGUGCUGCAUGGCUGUCGUCAGCUCGUGUCGUGAGAUGUUGGGUUAAGUCCCGCAACGAGCGCAACCCUUGCCUUUAGUUGCCAGCAGUUCGGCUGGGCACCCUAAAGGGACUGCCGGUGUUAAACCGGAGGAAGGUGGGGAUGACGUCAAGUCCUCAUGGCCUUUAUGACCAGGGCUACACACGUACUACAAUGGCCGAUACAAAGGGCAGCGACACUGCGAGGUGAAGCCAAUCCCGUAAAAUCGGUCUCAGUCCGGAUUGGAGUCUGCAACUCGACUCCAUGAAGUUGGAAUCGCUAGUAAUCGUGGAUCAGCAUGCCACGGUGAAUACGUUCCCGGGCCUU